UUUGGUGGGGGGCCACAAGGGGGGCUUCUGUGAGAAGCUGCUAGAAGAUUCCCCUAUGUCUGAUAGAGCAAAUGACAGCUGGCUCCAAGAUG